AAUGGGGGCAACCCUGAUCCAGCAAUGCCGCGUGUGUGAUGAAGGCCUUAGGGUUGUAAAGCACUUUCACUGGUGAAGAUGAUGACGGUAACCAGAGAAGAAGCCCCGGCUAACUUCGUGCCAGCAGCCGCGGUAAUACGAAGGGGGCGAGCGUUGUUCGGAAUUACUGGGCGUAAAGGGCGCGUAGGCGGUCUUUUAAGUUAGGCGUGAAAUCCCCGGGCUCAACCUGGGAACUGCGCUUAAGACUGGAAGACUAGAAAACGGAAGAGGGUAGUGGAAUUCCCAGUGUAGAGGUGAAAUUCGUAGAUAUUGGGAAGAACACCAGUGGCGAAAGCGGCUACCUGGUCCGAUUUUGACGCUGAGGCGCGAAAGCGUGGGGAGCAAACAGGAUU
rnacentral:rRNA from 1 species